rnacentral:lncRNA from 1 species
UCUAUUUCAGUCUCUCAGAUCACGUGGAAUCUCUUGAUCGGUUCCACAUGGACCAGCUUCUGACACCCUGGCUGCAGAACAGAAGCGGCGGCUGGGAGAGCUCUGCCCUCUCUCACUAGCUGGAAUCCCGUCUCCAACUCUCUGCAGCCGACUCCAUCUGCGCAUCACUCCGAUCUGUAUUACAGUGAUUACUCCGGCGUCUGCAUCUCGUCCUGAGGUCCUGAACUUUGGGAUGGCACCGACCAUCUGUGACUGUCCGACUCAAAACAUCGGUGCCUGGCACAGGAAGCAUCUCAUUCUGUCUCUCCUCACCCCCCUUAUGCAUUUCACCCAUCACCAAGGCCCAUAGAGUCUACCUUGCAGCGUCUCACCAAUUCACCUGUCUCUCUAAGGCCACUGGCACCUCAUGCCAGCCCUACUAAUGGGCUCCUUCCUUCGCCCCUCCUCCAGUCUAGUCAAUAUGUUACCAAAGCAUUAUCCCUCUCCACUGCUCUGCCCUUCAAUCAUCUGUACCACAAAAUGUGACUCAAUAAAUUCAAGCUGCU